rnacentral:rRNA from 1 species
AGCGAACGCUGGCGGCAGGCCUAAUACAUGCAAGUCGAGCGCACCUUCGGGUGAGCGGCGGACGGGUGAGUAACGCGUGGGAACGUGCCCUUUGGUACGGAACAACUGAGGGAAACUUCAGCUAAUACCGUAUGUGCCCUUCGGGGGAAAGAUUUAUCGCCAUUGGAGCGGCCCGCGUUGGAUUAGCUAGUUGGUGGGGUAAAAGCUCACCAAGGCUUCGAUCCAUAGCUGGUCUGAGAGGAUGAUCAGCCACACUGGGACUGAGACACGGCCCAGACUCCUACGGGAGGCAGCAGUAGGGAAUCUUGCGCAAUGGGCGAAAGCCUGACGCAGCCAUGCCGCGUGAAUGAUGAAGGUCUUAGGAUUGUAAAAUUCUUUCACCGGGGAAGAUAAUGACGGUACCCGGAGAAGAAGCCCCGGCUAACUUCGUGCCAGCCGCCGCCGUAAC